UCGUUGCUAUAUUUGAAGUGAUUAUGAAUUUAAAAUUAAUUACUAAUUGGUGGCAAUCGCUUAAUUUUCAUUAGGUCGAUAACUCUUUUAGUUUACAGUAAAUAAUAAAAGGCUUGUU
rfam:Marine metagenome 1096626821232, whole genome shotgun sequence.